UUCACCCUUGGAAAUGGAAAUAAUCUGUAGUCAAAAUGGUGCCCUUAAUUUUCAAUUUCUUGUUUAACUCUGGUUUAACACUGUUGUUUUAAUGUAACACAGUGGGAUGUAAUAAAAUUUAAAUAAUAUGGAAUGUGGUAAAUAUUUUAUAGGUAUCUCAUACUACAGUUUAUUACAGUGAUGGCUUCUCUGUGCCACGAGGCAUUAUAGACAUGAAACAAGGGCAUAGCACUUCUGAGGAUGAGGGAGACGGCUGAAGAACUGGAGAUGCUGGAAUCACAGUGUGGGAGGGAAGAGCUGACCAUAGCCUUUUCCUCUGACAAGGCUUUUUCUUGCUCAGUCAGAAAACUACCCUUCUCUGACUUUCCCUUAUAGAUUGUACAGAUACUUGAAUCAACUGUGCAUGAAAAAAAUCUGUGUUGCUUUGUUUGCAUGUAGUGUGUCACUUACAUUGAAUUUGUUCCAUUGAAUGUAAUCAGACUCCAGGGCUGAAAACAAGAGGAAAGCAUUUAGACAGACUUUACAGCCAGGCUCUGUGUUGAGCCAGUGAAACUCAAAAGAAUUAAGAAUUGGAGUUUGGCUCUACACAUCAUCACCCUGGCCUCUUCUAUGAUCUUCAAUAAAUGAGAGCAUUAUUAUUAACUGUAGUGGUAGUUCAGUGCAUUAGAUAGAUUUUACUAGUCAGGUCAAAAAGCCACAUUUUUGACACACUGGGCUGGAUGCACAUGUUUGAGUUAUAUGAGGGGGAGCAAAUACUCAAACCGAAUCAUGCAGUUUUGCAAGACUGUUCUUGAACUUCAGGUUACAACAGAAGCUGGAGAAGUGUUUCCUCCUCUGGAGAACAACGGUAUUUAAGAAGCACCACACAACAGAAGAUCUCAUUCUGGAGUUCUGAAAUCCGCCCUUAAAGGGGCAACUAUGCACAAAUCUGGACCUAAUGUAUUAUAAGUGGAAAUGCCAUUCUUGCAUCAACUGUCAACUCUCCAAAACUCUAGGGACUUUUUACAGUGAUGUUGUGUAUUGGAACCAUUUGCACAUGGAAUAGUCCAAGCAGUCCUUAAUACAUGCAGGUUUAUGUCCAGUUACCGCCUUCUCAAGCUGAGCAAUCAUUAUAUCACUGCUACAGUGGCCUAACAGCCUAAUAACGUAAAGACAAGACAUUGCAUUGGAAUGGGCAGCUCUGAAGACACAUAUGCUCAAAUAUGACCUCAUCACAUUAAAGAUAUACUUAGAGGAAUAGUAUCCUUCCAGGAAAGAGCACUCUACAGCUGUUACCACUAAUGCCUGAACAGGUCCCUUGCUCAUGGUAAUUCUUAUACCACCUUUGAAAGAAGAGUUAUUUCAUGCAUUUUGUAGAUGAAUGAACAGAAAUAGGAAAUCUCAAAGCUGGAAUCUACCUAGAAUGCUCACCAAAGGCCAGGAAAUGUCAUCAAAAGGCCCCUGCAUCACUGUGCAAGUGAAGAUACUUUCCCAUAAAAGUGGUCCACACUGUAAUAUUACAGUGGAAGAGACCAAAAGCUCAAUGUGUUUGGUAUGUGAAGCCCUGCAUUCCAGGCAGCAGUGCAGAACACAGGGCUGGGAGGCUAUUACUGCUCCAUUAUGUAAUGUUCACAAGCUCUUUGCCACGAGUGACCGAACACCUGCAAGAGGCACAUAUUUCCCACUCUACUAGGGUUGCAAUCUCAUUUUGUCUUUCCUGUAUUUAUCUUCACAGAGGAAUUACUCAAAACCUGCAGACUUUCUUUUUAAGCCUCUUGGGUGUCACUAGAUUUUCACUCUAUGUGUGCCUCAUGUUUUGGGCUCUCCAGACAUACUGUUUCUUUAUUUGUUUGUUUUCCCAUCAGCCUUCACUAUUUUAUCCAUCUCUGUUGUGGUUCUCUCCUGCAGUUAUAUUCCUAAUUUAUAAUCAGUCAUAUGGCACACUAUCACAUUUCUGAAGAAAUAUGAAUACAUAUCGUUCUGCUUAAUUUAUAGCUCUGUUCUUUUGAAGCACAAAGUAAAAGCUCUUUGCAAAAAUAUGAACACUGGAUGGAAUGAUUGUCAUUUUUUGGAUUUCUGGGGAGUCUCACACUGACAGCUGUUAUUGCUGGUGUCAAUCCCACUUCCAUGUAAUAAAACACUUCUCUGUAUUAUCUCACUGCACAAGUAUGAUAAAUACUUUGUUACAGGCAUUUACUUACAUCCUAGUCCUUC